rnacentral:rRNA from 1 species
AUUGAACGCUGGCGGAAUGCUUUACACAUGCAAGUCGAACGGCAGCACGGGGGCAACCCUGGUGGCGAGUGGCGAACGGGUGAGUAAUACAUCGGAACGUGCCCAGUCGUGGGGGAUAACGUAGCGAAAGCUACGCUAAUACCGCAUACGAUCUAUGGAUGAAAGCGGGGGACCGUAAGGCCUCGCGCGAUUGGAGCGGCCGAUGGCAGAUUAGGUAGUUGGUGGGGUAAAGGCUCACCAAGCCUGCGAUCUGUAGCUGGUCUGAGAGGACGACCAGCCACACUGACACUGAAUAACGGGUCAGACUACUACGGGAGGCAGCAGUGGGGAAUAUUGGACAAUGGGCGCAAGCCUGAUCCAGCAAUACCGCGUGUGUGAAGAAGGCCCGAGGGUUGUAAAGCACUUUCAAUAGGGAGGAACACCUGCUGAUUAAUACUUGGCAGACUGACAUUACCUAUACAAGAAGCACCGGCUAACUUCGUGCCAGCCGCCGCCGUAAAAC